UACAGAGGUGGCAAGCGUUGUUCGGAAUUACUGGGCGUAAAGGGCGCGUAGGCGGUCUUGUAAGUCUUGUGUGAAAUCCCUCGGCUCAACUGAGGAACUGCACGGGAUACUGCGAGACUUGAGUUCGGGAGAGGGAAGCGGAAUUCCGGGUGUAGCGGUGAAAUGCGUAGAUAUCCGGAGGAACACCGGUGGCGAAGGCGGCUUCCUGGACCGAUCACUGGCGCUGAGGCGCGAAAGCUAGGGGAGCAAACGGG
rnacentral:rRNA from 1 species